rnacentral:rRNA from 1 species
CGAGAGGACCGGAGUGGACGCAUCACUGGUGUUCGGGUUGUCAUGCCAAUGGCACUGCCCGGUAGCUAAAUGCGGAAGAGAUAAGUGCUGAAAGCAUCUAAGCACGAAACUUGCCCCGAGAUGAGUUCUCCCUGACUCCUUGAGAGUCCUGAAGGAACGUUGAAGACGACGACGUUGAUAGGCCGGGUGUGUAAGCGCAGCGAUGCGUUGAGCUAACCGGUACUAAUGAACCGUGAGG